rnacentral:rRNA from 1 species
AGUGAACGCUGGCGGUAGGCCUAACACAUGCAAGUCGAACGGCAGCACAAUAAGAGCUUGCUCUUACGGGUGGCGAGUGGCGGACGGGUGAGGAAUACAUCGGAAUCUACUUUUUCGUGGGGGAUAACGUAGGGAAACAUACGCUACUACCGCAUACGACCUACGGGUGAAAGCAGGGGAUAUUCGGACCUUGGGCGAUUGAAUGAGCCGAUGUCGGAUUAGCUAGUUGGCGAGGUAAAGGCCCACCAAGGCGACGAUCCGUAGCUGGUCUGAGAGGAUGAUCAGCCACACUGGAACUGAGACACGGUCCAGACUCCUACGGGAGGCAGCAGUGGGGAAUAUUGGACAAUGGGCGCAAGCCUGAUCCAGCCAUACCGCGUGGGUGAAGAAGGUCUUCGGGUUGUAAAGCCCUUUUGUUGGGAAAGAAAAGCAGCAGGUUAAUACCUCGCUGUUCUGACGGUACCCAAAGAAUAAGCACCGGCUAACUUCGUG